rfam:Salmo salar isolate Sally breed double haploid chromosome ssa04, whole genome shotgun sequence.
UAUGGGCUAUUGUAGUAAAGUCGCUCUGGAUAAGAGCGUCUGCUAAAUGACUUAAA